UGCAGUCGCCGUCCGGAGUGAGGUGGCUCCCUGCAAUUUGCCAGGCCCCCUCGUUCCCCGAAACCCAUCGCCGGCGCCGGCCACGGCCAGGACGCACGGGGCCUUCAGCCUUGCAACCCAGAUUUACUGGAGACUCCAAAUGGUUUCGUCGAGGAGGGGGAGGCGCCCAGCCGAGCCGAGGCCAUAAAUCUGAAUCUGAAAGACUGUAAAAGACUGAUUCCUGUCCAGGAGCAUGAUCACUGGCGAAUGGAUUAAUGGAAGAAGGAAGAUGUGCAGCAUGUGCUUUUUGAGGAUCUAUCUAAUCAGGCAGCUGGUAUACAAGAUCUCAGUUAGGAUAUGACCCAUUUAGUUGACUGCAACUAAUUGGCAUAUUAGUUUGAUAAUCGUAGUUUUGCAUGCCAGGGAUCUUAAAAAGUUUUUUAAUUAUCAUAACAGCUUAUCUGUAGAAGACAAUACUAUUCUUUCUGUUUCGUUCAUCGUUUAAUCUUCACAAUUUAACUAAAUAGCUGCCUAAGGGGGGAAAACGAGCUAGGUAACUUUUUGCUACUAUCCUCUGAAGAGAAAAAGAUUGAAGCUGUUUUGGUUAAUAUUAAGUACCACUCAAAAACUUUUGCCUGACGUGCUCAGUUGGGUGUGAAUAGACAGUUAUUGUGGUCUUGCAAAUCAGUUGCCGAAAGUAGGAGAUUUCAUUGAAAAAGUGAUAAUUUAAUUGGAAAAGCUGCAUCAUGCAUGCCAUGAGACUGAAAUGCAGGCAUCAAUGAUAACUAUCCAUCAUGCGGUGAAGAACUGAAGAUGUACAUGAAGCUUGAAAGGCAUGUUUAGUUAUGAACCCAAAAGAAGAUUAUUUCUCUUACCCCAAAACAAUAGGUUCCAUCACAAGGAACAGUCGUUUCUUAGAAGAUAUGCCAAAGAAGUUAGAGCACCAUUACUUGGUCUUUAUUCACCAAGUAUGCUGCAAUGCUGUAUACUGAACAUAUUGCGGCGUCCCCAAAAAGAUGUAUGUCUACCAGAAGCUAAUGGCACCAAUCCUUUUGAUGUUAGUCUGUUUCGGAACAGGCUCCUUGUCCUAUUUGAAGGAAAACGUAGACCUUGUUGCAUGAACCUGUUCAUGUUUUUUCCAUUUGAAGCCGAGCGUCUUAUCACAGGUUUUCAGCAAUGCUCUAUUUAUUAUGCUAAUAACUACUGUUUUUGUUCGGUGACCCCCUCUUUUUCAGAACAACUGUUUAGGAUAGUCAGGACCAACCUUUAAACCUAAUAUUAGUGAAAGGCACAGUAUGCCAUUGUCUUUAUAUUACCAAUAUCACUGAUAAUAUGUUGAUUUUACAGAUCGCUUGUGUAAUACCAUCACAUGGUUCCCUACUUUCUCAUUCAGUUACUGGAGUAUGUCAUGGAAAUUAUGGUAUGGCAAGCCCGGUCGUCCUGGUAACAAUUCCAUCAGAUGAAAACGACUGACUGUCCGAUACACGGGAAGAUCACCUUCCAUCAACCACUAAUAAUUGGGGUAUGGAGGACCUGUCUCCCUGAAUUAACUCAAGAGACUGUAACUGUAUGGUUCAAAGUUCAGACCAGGGGCAUGGACGAGCGAGCAAGGACGGACACGCCCGCACGGCCGUCCCGGCCACCCGAGGGUCCCGUCCGGCAGCUACAGGGCGUCCUCGCCGUGUGCACGUGUGCAUGAACUUGUCCCCCUGGUGUUCCAUCACGCAUUCAUGCGCGCCGUGGCUGUUGCUGAUUGACUCGCUCGGUGCUUGUGGAGUCGGGACACGGGUGGCCCGAGCUGGCGCGGCCGGGCGGACACGGCACAUGUCUGCAGUUGGCGCCGCACUGUUCAUCAGGAGAUGGACUGCAACUCCUGAGAGGGUGGUGUGCUCCCAAGUCUCUCCCCCAACCGCAGCCGCUACAGUUGAGUUGAUGCAGAGUACUCGCUCGAAACUUUUGCUCGAGGCUUGGAUUGGAUCGCGCUGAUUAUAUGGGCGCUUCACCUGGUGUUCCAGCUCGGAUGCAGAGCAGAGAAGGUCAAUUUCUGGUGCAGGGUGGGAGACGCUGAUAAUUUGGUCAAGGUGUCUUGCAACAGGAGAUUUGGCUACAAACAGUGCUUGGAGAUAGAACCCAGUGACACGUAGGUUUGGUCAAACGCUGAAGAGGACACCAGCUGUGUGCAUACUGCAUAGCCUAGGCUUGUGCUGCAGCCUGCAUGCAGGCAAGCAGCUACAUGUCUGAUAUCUCUGACAGGGCACAGACAUCUUCAUGCACAGGCACCACACCAUCUGUACUAUGUACUCAAGAAGCAAGCAAACAUGGACCAAGCAAGGGAGUGACAGUGAUGGCCGCUGAGGUAUGCAAUGAAAUGCUUUUCUCUGGAGCAGCAAGCCCAAGCAGGGGAGGAGGCAUGCAAUGCAACUAGGGCAUAUUCUACUGCAAGCACUACGGCUAAACAUCACAUGAUCACCACCAUUUGGCAGAAGAAGAAAAAAGUAUGCGGGUGUGGGGCCCAUCCCCCUAAUGAUCCUUUUUAGCCCAGCACAGCAGGUGUUUGUGUCUCAUCUAGUGGGUGCUAGGAGGGGCUUAAGAUACUGCCUAGUGAUCUUGAGACAUGUGCUGCUGCUAAUGCUUCAUUAAAGGGUGAAUGGAUCUCAGUACACUGCUGCCGCUGCUGCCGCGAACACACUCACGAUUAGCUUUAAUAUGUUUCUUGUUUGCUUUGUUGUUGUGUUAGUAGUAAUAGGGUAGAUUAGUAGGGGGGCGGAUGAUGAUGCACUGCGAGCCUGCAACCUACGGCCACCAAAUAUUUUAUACGUUUUUUUUUGGCGCUAGCAUAUCUUUCAGUGAUCA